AGAAUCAACGCUGGCGGCGUGCCUCAGACAUGCAAGUCGAACGCGAAAGUCCCCUUCGGGGGUGAGUAGAGUGGCGCACGGGUGAGUAACACGUAGGUAAUCUACCUUUGGAUGGGGAAUAACAACCGGAAACGGUUGCUAAUACCGCAUAAUGCAGCGGCACCUAAUGGUGACAGUUGUUAAAACGGGGGAUCGAAAGACCUCGCGUCUGAAGAGGAGCCUGCGGCGGAUUAGCUAGUUGGUAGGGUAACGGCCUACCAAGGCUACGAUCCGUA
rnacentral:rRNA from 1 species